GGGUAGGUCCGGGUCGGAUUGUAAAGCCUCUGCCAUGGACUGGACCGGCCUUGGAUCGUGUCCGCGAUCAUCAUGCCAGCU
rnacentral:sRNA from 1 species